CCUACCCCCCUACCCCCCUCUGGUCUGCCCUGCACUGCACUGUUGCCAUGGGCAGUGCUCCAGGCCUGCUUGGUGUGGACAUGGUGGUGAGCCGUGGCAAGGACCAGAAUGGAUCACAGAUGAUCGUUGGCCAACAGGUGGCAGAAGAGGAAUUCCUGCCUUCCUCAAGAGGAACACCUACCCCUUGGCUAAUGCUGGGGUCGGAUUUUGAUUUAUAUUUAUCUUUUGGAUGUCAGUCAUACAGUCUGAUUUUGUGGUUUGCUAGUGUUUGAAUUUAAGUCUUAAGUGACUAUUAUAGAAAUGUAUUAAGAGGCUUUAUUUGUAGAAUUCACUUUAAUUACAUUUAAUGAGUUUUUGUUUUGAGUUCCUUAAAAUUCCUUAAAGUUUUUAGCUUCUCAUUACAAAUUCCUUAACCUUUUUUUGGCAGUAGAUAGUCAAAGUCAAAUCAUUUCUAAUGUUUUAAAAAUGUGCUGGUCAUUUUCUUUGAAAUUGACUUAACUAUUUUCCUUUGAAGAGUCUGUAGCACAGAAACAGUAAAAAAUUUAACUUCAUGACCUAAUGUAAAAAAGAGUGUUUGAAGGUUUACACAGGUCCAGGCCUUGCUUUGUUCCCAUCCUUGAUGCUGCACUAAUUGACUAAUCACCUACUUAUCAGACAGGAAACUUGAAUUGCUGUGGUCUGGUGUCCUCUAUUCAGACUUAUUAUAUUGGAGUAUUUCAAUUUUUCGUUGUAUCCUGCCUGCCUAGCAUCCAGUUCCUCCCCAGCCCUGCUCCCAGCAAACCCCUAGUCUAGCCCCAGCCCUACUCCCACCCCGCCCCAGCCCUGCCCCAGCCCCAGUCCCCUAACCCCCCAGCCCUAGCCCCAGUCCCAGUCCUAGUUCCUCAGUCCCGCCCAGCUUCUCUCGAAAGUCACUCUAAUUUUCAUUGAUUCAGUGCUCAAAAUAAGUUGUCCAUUGCUUAUCCUAUUAUACUGGGAUAUUCCGUUUACCCUUGGCAUUGCUGAUCUUCAGUACUGACUCCUUGACCAUUUUCAGUUAAUGCAUACAAUCCCAUUUGUCUGUGAUCUCAGGACAAAGAAUUUCCUUACUCGGUACGUUGAAGUUAGGGAAUGUCAAUUGAGAGCUUUCUAUCAGAGCAUUAUUGCCCACAAUUUGAGUUACUUAUCAUUUUCUCGAUCCCCUGCCCUUAAAGGAGAAACCAUUUCUCUGUCAUUGCUUCUGUAGUCACAGUCCCAAUUUUGAGUAGUGAUCUUUUCUUGUGUACUGUGUUGGCCACCUAAAACUCUUUGCAUUGAGUAAAAUUCUAAUUGCCAAUAAUCCUACCCAUUGGAUUAGACAGCACUCUGAACCCCAUUUGCAUUCAGCAGGGGGUCGCAGACAACCCGUCUUUUGUUGGACAGUUAAAAUGCUCAGUCCCAAUUGUCAUAGCUUUGCCUAUUAAACAAAGGCACCCUACUGCGCUUUUUGCUGUGCUUCUGGAGAAUCCUGCUGUUCUUGGACAAUUAAAGAACAAAGUAGUAAUUGCUAAUUGUCUCACCCAUUAAUCAUGAAGACUACCAGUCGCCCUUGCAUUUGCCUUGAGGCAGCGCUGACUACCUGAGAUUUAAGAGUUUCUUAAAUUAUUGAGUAAAAUCCCAAUUAUCCAUAGUUCUGUUAGUUACACUAUGGCCUUUGCAAACAUCUUUGCAUAACAGCAGUGGGACUGACUCAUUCUUAGAGCCCCUUCCCUUGGAAUAUUAAUGGAUACAAUAGUAAUUAUUCAUGGUUCUGCGUAACAGAGAAGACCCACUUAUGUGUAUGCCUUUAUCAUUGCUCCUAGAUAGUGUGAACUACCUACCACCUUGCAUUAAUAUGUAAAACACUAAUUGCCCAUAGUCCCACUCAUUAGUCUAGGAUGUCCUCUUUGCCAUUGCUGCUGAGUUCUGACUACCCAAGUUUCCUUCUCUUAAACAGUUGAUAUGCAUAAUUGCAUAUAUUCAUGGUUCUGUGCAAUAAAAAUGGAUUCUCACCCCAUCCCACCUUCUGUGGGAUGUUGCUAACGAGUGCAGAUUAUUCAAUAACAGCUCUUGAACAGUUAAUUUGCACAGUUGCAAUUGUCCAGAGUCCUGUCCAUUAGAAAGGGACUCUGUAUCCUAUUUGCACGCUACAAUGUGGGCUGAUCACCCAAGGACUCUUCUUGUGCAUUGAUGUUCAUAAUUGUAUUUGUCCACGAUCUUGUGCACUAACCCUUCCACUCCCUUUGUAUUCCAGCAGGGGACCCUUACUACUCAAGACCUCUGUACUAGGACAGUUUAUGUGCACAAUCCUAAUUGAUUAGAACUGAGUCUUUUAUAUCAAGGUCCCUGCAUCAUCUUUGCUUUACAUCAAGAGGGUGCUGGUUACCUAAUGCCCCUCCUCCAGAAAUUAUUGAUGUGCAAAAUGCAAUUUCCCUAUCUGCUGUUAGUCUGGGGUCUCAUCCCCUCAUAUUCCUUUUGUCUUACAGCAGGGGGUACUUGGGACUGUUAAUGCGCAUAAUUGCAAUUAUGGUCUUUUCCAUUAAAUUAAGAUCCCAACUGCUCACACCCUCUUAGCAUUACAGUAGAGGGUGCUAAUCACAAGGACAUUUCUUUUGUACUGUUAAUGUGCUACUUGCAUUUGUCCCUCUUCCUGUGCACUAAAGACCCCACUCACUUCCCUAGUGUUCAGCAGUGGAUGACCUCUAGUCAAGACCUUUGCACUAGGAUAGUUAAUGUGAACCAUGGCAACUGAUCACAACAAUGUCUUUCAGAUCAGAUCCAUUUUAUCCUCCUUGUUUUACAGCAAGGGAUAUUAAUUACCUAUGUUACCUUUCCCUGGGACUAUGAAUGUGCAAAAUUCCAAUGUUCAUGGUCUCUCCCUUUAAACCUAUAUUCUACCCCUUUUACAUUAUAGAAAGGGAUGCUGGAAACCCAGAGUCCUUCUCUUGGGACUCUUAAUGUGUAUUUCUAAUUAUCCAUGACUCUUAAUGUGCAUAUUUUCAAUUGCCUAAUUGAUUUCAAUUGUCUAAGACAUUUCAAAUGUCUAAUUGAUUAGAACUGAGUCUUUUAUAUCAAGCUAAUAUCUAGCUUUUAUAUCAAGCUAAUAUCUUGACUUCUCAGCAUCAUAGAAGGGGGUACUGAUUUCCUAAAGUCUUUCUUGAAUUUCUAUUAUGCAAAAUUGCCCUGAGGCCGGGUGUGGUGGCUCACACCUGUAAUCCCAGCACUUUGGGAGGCUGAGGUGGGAAGAUCCCUUACUGCCAGGAGUUUGAGACCAGCCUGGCCAACAUUAAAAAAAAAAAAAAGUAAGACAAUUGCCCUGGAAUCCCAUCCCCCUCACACCUCCUUGGCAAAGCAGCAGGAGUGCUAACUAGCUAGUGCUUCUUCUCUUAUACUGCUUAAAUGCGCAUAAUUAGCAGUAGUUGAUGUGCCCCUAUGUUAGAGUAGAAUCCCGCUUCCUUGCUCCAUUUGCAUUACUGCAGGAGCUUCUAACUAGCCUGAAUUCACUCUCUUGGACUGUUAAUGUGCAUACUUAUAUUUGCUGCUGUACUUUUUUACCAUGUAAGGACCCCACCCACUGUAUUUACAUCCCAGCUGGAAGUACCUACUACUUAAGACCCUUAGACUAGUAAAGUUAGCGUGCAUAAUCUUAGGUGUUAUAUACACAUUUUCAGUUGCAUACAGUUGUGCCUUUUAUCAGGACUCCUGUACUUAUCAAAGCAGAGAGUGCUAAUCAAUAUUAAGCCCUUCUCUUCGAACUGUAGAUGGCAUGUAAUUGCAGUUGUCAAUGGUCCUUCAAUUAGACUUGGGUUUCUGACCUAUCACACCCUCUUUGCUUUAUUGCAUGGGGUACUAUUCACUUAAGGCCCCUUUCUCAAACUGUUAAUGUGCCUAAUGACAAUUACAUCAGUAUCCUUCCUUUUGAAGGACAGCAUGGUUGGUGACACCUAAGGCCCCAUUUCUUGGCCUCCCAAUAUGUGUGAUUGUAUUUGUCGAGGUUGCUAUGCACUAGAGAAGGAAAGUGCUCCCCUCAUCCCCACUUUUCCCUUCCAGCAGGAAGUGCCCACCCCAUAAGACCCUUUUAUUUGGAGAGUCUAGGUGCACAAUUGUAAGUGACCACAAGCAUGCAUCUUGGACAUUUAUGUGCGUAAUCGCACACUGCUCAUUCCAUGUGAAUAAGGUCCUACUCUCCGACCCCUUUUGCAAUACAGAAGGGUUGCUGAUAACGCAGUCCCCUUUUCUUGGCAUGUUGUGUGUGAUUAUAAUCGUCUGGGAUCCUAUGCACUAGAAAAGGAGGGUCCUCUCCACAUACCUCAGUCUCACCUUUCCCUUCCAGCAGGGAGUGCCCACUCCAUAAGACUCUCACAUUUGGACAGUCAAGGUGCGUAAUUGUUAAGUGAACACAACCAUGCACCUUAGACAUGGAUUUGCAUAACUACACACAGCUCAACCUAUCUGAAUAAAAUCCUACUCUCAGACCCCUUUUGCAGUACAGCAGGGGUGCUGAUCACCAAGGCCCUUUUUCCUGGCCUGGUAUGCGUGUGAUUAUGUUUGUCCCGGUUCCUGUGUAUUAGACAUGGAAGCCUCCCCUGCCACACUCCACCCCCAAUCUUCCUUUCCCUUCCGGCAGGGAGUGCCCUCUCCAUAAGACGCUUACGUUUGGACAAUCAAGGUGCACAGUUGUAAGUGACCACAGGCAUACACCUUGGACAUUAAUGUGCAUAACCACUUUGCCCAUUCCAUCUGAAUAAGGUCCUACUCUCAGACCCCUUUUGCAGUACAGCAGGGGUGCUGAUCACCAAGGCCCCUUUUCUUGGCCUGUUAUGUGCGUGAUUAUAUUUGUCUGGGUUCCUGUGUAUUAGACAAGGAAGCCUUCCCCCCGCCCCCACCCCCACUCCCAGUCUUCCUUUCCCUUCCAGCAGGGAGUGCCCCCUCCAUAAGAUCAUUACAUUUGGACAAUCAAGGUGCACAAUUAUAAGUGACCACAGCCAUGCACCUUGGACAUUAUUGGACAUUAAUGUGCGUAACUGCACAUGGCUUAUCCUAUUUGAAUAAAGUCCUACUCUCAGACCCCCUUUGCAGUAUAGCUGGGGUGCUGAUCACUGAGGCCUCUUUGCUUGGCUUGUCUAUAUUCUUGUGUACUAGAUAAGGGCACCUUCUCAUGGACUCCCUUUGCUUUUCAACAAGGAGUACCCACUACUUUUUAAGAUUCUUAUAUUUGUCCAAAGUACAUGGUUUUAAUUGACCACAACAAUGUCCCUUGGACAUUAAUGUAUGUAAUCACCACAUGGUUCAUCCUAAUUAAACAAAGUUCUACCUUCUCACCCUCCAUUUGCAGUAUACCAGGGUUGCUGACCCCCUAAGUCCCCUUUUCUUGGCUUGUUGACAUGCAUAAUUGCAUUUAUGUUGGUUCUUGUGCCCUAGACAAGGAUGCCCCACCUCUUUUCAAUAGUGGGUGCCCACUCCUUAUGAUCUUUACAUUUGAACAGUUAAUGUGAAUAAUUGCAGUUGUCCACAACCCUAUCACUUCUAGGACCAUUAUACCUCUUUUGCAUUACUGUGGGGUAUACUGUUUCCCUCCAAGGCCCCUUCUGGUGGACUAUCAACAUAUAAUUGAAAUUUUCUUUUGUCUUUGUCAGUAGAUUAAGGUCAUACCCCAUCACCUUUCCUUUGUAGUACAACAGGGUGUCCUGAUCAACCAAAGUCCUGUUGUUUUGGACUGUUAAUAUGUGCAAUUACAUUUGCUCCUGAUCUGUGCACUAGAUAAGGAUCCUACCUACUUUCUUAGUGUUUUUAGCAGGUAGUGCCCACUACUCAAGACUGUCACUUGGAAUGUUCAUGUGCACAAACUCAAUUCUCUAAGCAUGUUCCUGUACCACCUUUGCUUUAGAGCAGGGGGAUGAUAUUCACUAAGUGCCCCUUCUUUUGGACUUAAUAUGCAUUAAUGCAAUUGUCCACCUCUUCUUUUAGACUAAGAGUUGAUCUCCACAUAUUCCCCUUGCAUCAGGGGCAUGUUAAUUAUGAAUGAACCCUUUUCUUUUAAUAUUAAUGUCAUAAUUGUAUUUGUGGACCUGUGUAGGAGAAAAAGACCCUAUGUUCCUCCCAUUACCCUUUGGAUUGCUGCUGAGAAGUGUUAACUACUCAUAAUCUCAGCUCUUGGACAAUUAAUAGCAUUAAUAACAAUUAUCAAGGGCACUGAUCAUUAGAUAAGACUCCUGCUUCCUCGUUGCUUACAUCGGGGGUACUGACCCACUAAGGCCCCUUGUACUGUUAAUGUGAAUAUUUGCAAUUAUAUAUGUCUCCUUCUGGUAGAGUGGGAUAUUAUGCCCUAGUAUCCCCUUUGCAUUACUGCAGGGGCUGCUGACUACUCAAAACUUCUCCUGGGACUGUUAAUAGGCACAAUGGCAGUUAUCAAUGGUUUUCUCCCUCCCUGACCUUGUUAAGCAAGCGCCCCACCCCACCCUUAGUUUCCCAUGGCAUAAUAAAGUAUAAGCAUUGGAGUAUUCCAUGCACUUGUCUAUCAAACAGUGGUCCAUACUCCCAACCCUUUUGCAUUGCGCCAGUGUGUAAAAUCACAGGUAGCCAUGGUGUCAUGCUUUAUAUACGAAGUCUUCCCUCUCUCUGCCCCUUGUGUGCCCUUGGCCCCUUUUUACAGACUAUUGCUCACAAUCUCAGGUGUCCAUAUUUGCAGCUAUUAGGUAAGAUUGUGCUGUCUCCCUCUUCCCUUCCCUCUGCCCUGCCCCUUUUGCCUCUUUGCUGGGUAAUGUUGACCAGACAAGGCCCUUUCUCUUGGACUUAAACAAUUCUCAGUUGCACUUUCCUUGGUCCCACCCAUUAUACAUGAACCCCUCUACUUCCUUUCGCAUUGCUUCUGAGUAUGCUGACUACCCAAAGCCCCUUCUGUGUUAUUAAUAAACACAGUACUGAUUGUCCCAUUUUUCAGCCCAUCAGUCCAAGAUCUCCCUACCACUUUGGUGUGUUGGUGCAGUGUUGACUAUGAAAAGCAGGCCUGAACUAGGUGGAUAAGCCUUCACUCAUUUUCUUUCAUUUAUUAAUGAUCCUAGUUUCAAUUAUUGUCAGAUUCUGGGGACAAGAACCAUUCUUGCCCACCUGUGUUACUGCUUUACUGUGCAAAAUACUGAAGGCAAGUCAGACCCAGGGAGCUGGAUUGCCAUCCUUUAUUUUGUGUUUCCAGUGUACACUAUAAAAUUGUCUCCCCAGGAAGGAAGGUUGGCACUUUCUCUGCAUUCUUCUUUCCAGAGCAGAUUGCCUGGUUAAGAAUCUCUUGUUGUCCCCUUUGUAUAUUGUUAUUGUAAAGUGCCAAAUGCCAGGAUACAGCCAGAAAAAUUGCUUAUUAUUAUUAAAAAAAUUUUUUUAAGAAAGACAUCUGGAUUGUAGGGUGGACUCGAUAACCUGGUCAUUAUUUUUUUGAAGCCAAAAUAUCCAUUUAUACUAUGUACCUGGUGACCAGUGUCUCUCAUUUUAACUGAGGGUGGUGGGUCUGUGGAUAGAACACUGACUCUUGCUAUUUUAAUAUCAAAGAUAUUCUAGAGUGGAACUCUUAAGACCAGUAUCUUUGUGUGGGCUUUACCAGCAUUCACUUUUAGAAAAACUACCUAAAUUUUAUAAUCCUUUAAUUUCUUCAUCUGGAGCACCUGCCCCUACUUAUUUCAAGAAGAUUGCAGUAAAACGAUUAAAUGAGGGAACAUAUGCAGAGGUGCUUUUAAAAAGCAUAUGCCACCUUUUUUAUUAAUUAUUAUAUAAAAUGAAGCAUUUAAUUAUAGUAAUAAUUUGAAGUAGUUUGAAGUACCACACUGAGGUGAGGACUUAAAAAUGAUAAGACGAGUUCCCUAUUUUAUAAGAAAAAUAAGCCAAAAUUAAAUAUUCUUUUGGAUAUAAAUUUCAACAGUGAGAUAGCUGCCUAGUGGAAAUGAAUAAUAUCCCAGCCACUAGUGUACAGGGUGUUUUGUGGCACAGGAUUAUGUAAUAUGGAACUGCUCAAGCAAAUAACUAGUCAUCACAACAGCAGUUCUUUGUAAUAACUGAAAAAGAAUAUUGUUUCUCGGAGAAGGAUGUCAAAAGAUCGGCCCAGCUCAGGGAGCAGUUUGCCCUACUAGCUCCUCGGACAGCUGUAAAGAAGAGUCUCUGGCUCUUUAGAAUACUGAUCCCAUUGAAGAUACCACGCUGCAUGUGUCCUUAGUAGUCAUGUCUCCUUAGGCUCCUCUUGGACAUUCUGAGCAUGUGAGACCUGAGGACUGCAAACAGCUAUAAGAGGCUCCAAAUUAAUCAUAUCUUUCCCUUUGAGAAUCUGGCCAAGCUCCAGCUAAUCUACUUGGAUGGGUUGCCAGCUAUCUGGAGAAAAAGAUCUUCCUCAGAAGAAUAGGCUUGUUGUUUUACAGUGUUAGUGAUCCAUUCCCUUUGACGAUCCCUAGGUGGAGAUGGGGCAUGAGGAUCCUCCAGGGGAAAAGCUCACUACCACUGGGCAACAACCCUAGGUCAGGAGGUUCUGUCAAGAUACUUUCCUGGUCCCAGAUAGGAAGAUAAAGUCUCAAAAACAACCACCACACGUCAAGCUCUUCAUUGUUCCUAUCUGCCAAAUCAUUAUACUUCCUACAAGCAGUGCAGAGAGCUGAGUCUUCAGCAGGUCCAAGAAAUUUGAACACACUGAAGGAAGUCAGCCUUCCCACCUGAAGAUCAACAUGCCUGGCACUCUAGCACUUGAGGAUAGCUGAAUGAAUGUGUCUUACCCAUUUCCAUGUUUCUCUUGCUAAUUUCUUUCGUGUGUGCCUUUGCCUCAUUUUCUCUUUUUGUUCACAAGAGUGGUCUGUGUCUUGUCUUAGACAUAUCUCUCAUUUUUCAUUUUGUUGCUAUUUCUCUUUGCUCUCCUAGAUGUGGCUCUUCUUUCACGCUUUAUUUCAUGUCUCCUUUUUGGGUCACAUGCUGUGUGCUUUUUGUCCUUUUCUUGUUCUGUCUACCUCUCCUUUCUCUGCCUACCUCUCUUUUCUCUUUGUGAACUGUGAUUAUUUGUUACCCCUUCCCCUUCUCGUUCGUUUUAAAUUUCACCUUUUUUCUGAGUCUGGCCUCCUUUCUGCUGUUUCUACUUUUUAUCUCACAUUUCUCAUUUCUGCAUUUCCUUUCUGCCUCUCUUGGGCUAUUCUCUCUCUCCUCCCCUGCGUGCCUCAGCAUCUCUUGCUGUUUGUGAUUUUCUAUUUCAGUAUUAAUCUCUGUUGGCUUGUAUUUGUUCUCUGCUUCUUCCCUUUCUACUCACCUUUGAGUAUUUCAGCCUCUUCAUGAAUCUAUCUCCCUCUCUUUGAUUUCAUGUAAUCUCUCCUUAAAUAUUUCUUUGCAUAUGUGGGCAAGUGUACGUGUGUGUGUGUCAUGUGUGGCAGAGGGGCUUCCUAACCCCUGCCUGAUAGGUGCAGAACGUCGGCUAUCAGAGCAAGCAUUGUGGAGCGGUUCCUUAUGCCAGGCUGCCAUGUGAGAUGAUCCAAGACCAAAACAAGGCCCUAGACUGCAGUAAAACCCAGAACUCAAGUAGGGCAGAAGGUGGAAGGCUCAUAUGGAUAGAAGGCCCAAAGUAUAAGACAGAUGGUUUGAGACUUGAGACCCGAGGACUAAGAUGGAAAGCCCAUGUUCCAAGAUAGAUAGAAGCCUCAGGCCUGAAACCAACAAAAGCCUCAAGAGCCAAGAAAACAGAGGGUGGCCUGAAUUGGACCGAAGGCCUGAGUUGGAUGGAAGUCUCAAGGCUUGAGUUAGAAGUCUUAAGACCUGGGACAGGACACAUGGAAGGCCUAAGAACUGAGACUUGUGACACAAGGCCAACGACCUAAGAUUAGCCCAGGGUUGUAGCUGGAAGACCUACAACCCAAGGAUGGAAGGCCCCUGUCACAAAGCCUACCUAGAUGGAUAGAGGACCCAAGCGAAAAAGGUAUCUCAAGACUAACGGCCGGAAUCUGGAGGCCCAUGACCCAGAACCCAGGAAGGAUAGAAGCUUGAAGACCUGGGGAAAUCCCAAGAUGAGAACCCUAAACCCUACCUCUUUUCUAUUGUUUACACUUCUUACUCUUAGAUAUUUCCAGUUCUCCUGUUUAUCUUUAAGCCUGAUUCUUUUGAGAUGUACUUUUUGAUGUUGCCGGUUACCUUUAGAUUGACAGUAUUAUGCCUGGGCCAGUCUUGAGCCAGCUUUAAAUCACAGCUUUUACCUAUUUGUUAGGCUAUAGUGUUUUGUAAACUUCUGUUUCUAUUCACAUCUUCUCCACUUGAGAGAGACACCAAAAUCCAGUCAGUAUCUAAUCUGGCUUUUGUUAACUUCCCUCAGGAGCAGACAUUCAUAUAGGUGAUACUGUAUUUCAGUCCUUUCUUUUGACCCCAGAAGCCCUAGACUGAGAAGAUAAAAUGGUCAGGUUGUUGGGGAAAAAAAAGUGCCAGGCUCUCUAGAGAAAAAUGUGAAGAGAUGCUCCAGGCCAAUGAGAAGAAUUAGACAAGAAAUACACAGAUGUGCCAGACUUCUGAGAAGCACCUGCCAGCAACAGCUUCCUUCUUUGAGCUUAGGUGAGCAGGAUUCUGGGGUUUGGGAUUUCUAGUGAUGGUUAUGGAAAGGGUGACUGUGCCUGGGACAAAGCGAGGUCCCAAGGGGACAGCCUGAACUCCCUGCUCAUAGUAGUGGCCAAAUAAUUUGGUGGACUGUGCCAACGCUACUCCUGGGUUUAAUACCCAUCUCUAGGCUUAAAGAUGAGAGAACCUGGGACUGUUGAGCAUGUUUAAUACUUUCCUUGAUUUUUUUCUUCCUGUUUAUGUGGGAAGUUGAUUUAAAUGACUGAUAAUGUGUAUGAAAGCACUGUAAAACAUAAGAGAAAAACCAAUUAGUGUAUUGGCAAUCAUGCAGUUAACAUUUGAAAGUGCAGUGUAAAUUGUGAAGCAUUAUGUAAAUCAGGGGUCCACAGUUUUUCUGUAAGGGGUCAAAUCAUAAAUACUUUAGACUGUGGGCCAUAUGGUUUCUGUUACAUAUUUGUUUUUUAAACAACGUUUUUAUAAGGUCAAAAUCAUUCUUAGUUUUUGAGCCAAUUGGAUUUGGCCUGCUGUUCAUAGCUUACCACCCCCUGAUGUAUUAUUUGUUAUUCAGAGAAAAUUUCUGAAUACUACUAGUUUCCUUUUCUGUGCCUGUCCCUGUGCUAGGCACUAAAAAUGCAAUGAUUAUUGAUAUCUAGGUGACCUGAAAAAAAAUAGUGAAUGUGCUUUGUAAACUGUAAAGCACUUGUAUUCUACUGUGAUAAGCGUUGUGGAUACAAAGAAAGGAGCAAGCAUAAAAAAGUGCUCUUUCAAAAGGAUAUAGUACUAUGCAGACACAAGGAAUUGUUUGAUAAAUGAAUAAAUUAUAUGUAUAUUUGAGGCCAAUUUGUGUUUGCUGCUCUGGUAAUUUUGAGUAAAAAUGCAGUAUUCCAGGUAUCAGAAACGAAAACACAUGGAAACUGCUUUUAAACUUUAAAAUAUACUGAAAACAUAAGGGACUAAGCUUGUUGUGGUCACCUAUAAUGUGCCAGAUACCAUGCUGGGUGCUAGAGCUACCAAAGGGGGAAAAGUAUUCUCAUAGAACAAAAAAUUUCAGAAAGGUGCAUAUUAAAGUGCUUUGUAAACUAAAGCAUGAUACAAAUGUCAAUGGGCUACAUAUUUAUGAAUGAAUGAAUGGAUGAAUGAAUAUUAAGUGCCUCUUACAUACCAGCUAUUUUGGGUACUGUAAAAUACAAGAUUAAUUCUCCUAUGUAAUAAGAGGAAAGUUUAUCCUCUAUACUAUUCAGAUGUAAGGAAUGAUAUAUUGCUUAAUUUUAAACAAUCAAGACUUUACUGGUGAGGUUAAGUUAAAUUAUUACUGAUACAUUUUUCCAGGUAACCAGGAAAGAGCUAGUAUGAGGAAAUGAAGUAAUAGAUGUGAGAUCCAGACCGAAAGUCACUUAAUUCAGCUUGCGAAUGUGCUUUCUAAAUUAUAAAGCACUUGUAAAUGAAAAAUUUGAUGCUUUCUGUAUGAAUAAAACUUUCUGUAAGCUAGGUAUUGUCUCUACAAAAUUCUCAUUGUAUAGUUAAACCACAGUGAGAAGGGUUCUAUAAGUAGUUAUACAAACCAAGGGUUUAAAUACCUGUUAAAUAGAUCAAUUUUGAUUGCCUACUAUGUGAACUCACUGUUAAAGGCACUGAAAAUUUAUCAUAUUUCAUUUAGCCACAGCCAAAAAUAAGGCAAUACCUAUGUUAGCAUUUUGUGAACUCUAAGGCACCAUAUAAAUGUAACUGUUGAUUUUCUCACUUGGUGCUGGGUACUAGGUUUAUAAAAUUGUAUGAUAGUUAUUAUAUUGUGCAAAUAAAGUAGGAAAAUUUGAAUAACAAUGAUUAUCUUUUGAAUACGCAUACGCAAGGGAUUGGUUGUCUGAAGAAUGCCACUAUAGUAGUUAUCUAUUGUGUGCCAAUCUCAUUGCUAGGCAUUGGGGAUGCAAAGAUAAACCAUCUUUAUUGUGUCUUGGGUAGCAGAAGAAAAUAUGUGUAAAAUCAAUUUAUAAUUUGUAAACUGCCACCCAUAUAUAAGCUAUAUCUGCUGAAUGAUCAUUGAUUACUCUUAUCCUUAGAGAUAACAACUGGGGGCACAAACAUUUAUUAUCAUUAUUGAACCUACAACAGAGAUCUAUGUGUAGAUUUACAAAGCCUACAGUUCUAUACAGAUAGGAAUGAACUAUUGGCUUACUGAAUGGUGAUUACUUUCUGUGGGGCUCGGAACUACAUGCCCUAGGAUAUAAAAAUGAUGUUAUCAUUAUAGAGUGCUCACAGAAGGAAAUGAAGUAAUAUAGGUGUGAGAUCCAGACCAAAAGUCAUUUAACAAGUUUAUUCAGUGAUGAAAACAUGGGACAAAUGGACUAAUAUAAGGCAGUGUACUAAGCUGAGUAGAGAGAUAAAGUCCUGUCCAGAAGAUACAUGCUUCCUGGCCUGAUUGAGGAGAUGGAAAAUUUUUGCAAAAAACAAGGUGUUGUGGUCUUCCAUCCAGUUUCUUAAGUGCUGAUGAUAAAAGUGAAUUAGACCCACCUUGACCUGGCCUACAGAAGUAAAGGAGUAAAAAUAAAUGCCUCAGGCGUGCUUUUUGAUUCAUUUGAUAAACAAAGCAUCUUUUAUGUGGAAUAUACCAUUCUGGGUCCUGAGGAUAAGAGAGAUGAGGGCAUUAGAUCACUGACAGCUGAAGAUAGAAGAACAUCUUUGGUUUGAUUGUUUAAAUAAUAUUUCAAUGCCUAUUCUCUGCAAGGUACUAUGUUUCGUAAAUUAAAUAGGUCUGGCCCAGAAGACCCACUCAAUUGCCUUUGAGAUUAAAAAAAAAAAAAAAAAGAAAGAAAAAUGCAAGUUUCUUUCAAAAUAAAGAGACAUUUUUCCUAGUUUCAGGAAUCCCCCAAAUCACUUCCUCAUUGGCUUAGUUUAAAGCCAGGAGACUGAUAAAAGGGCUCAGGGUUUGUUCUUUAAUUCAUUAACUAAACAUUCUGCUUUUAUUACAGUUAAAUGGUUCAAGAUGUAACAACUAGUUUUAAAGGUAUUUGCUCAUUGGUCUGGCUUAGAGACAGGAAGACAUAUGAGCAAUAAAAAAAAGAUUCUUUUGCAUUUACCAAUUUAGUAAAAAUUUAUUAAAACUGAAUAAAGUGCUGUUCUUAAGUGCUUGAAAGACGUAAACCAAAGUGCACUUUAUCUCAUUUAUCUUAUGGUGGAAACACAGGAACAAAUUCUCUAAGAGACUGUGUUUCUUUAGUUGAGAAGAAACUUCAUUGAGUAGCUGUGAUAUGUUCGAUACUAAGGAAAAACUAAACAGAUCACCUUUGACAUGCGUUGUAGAGUGGGAAUAAGAGAGGGCUUUUUAUUUUUUCGUUCAUACGAGUAUUGAUGAAGAUGAUACUAAAUGCUAAAUGAAAUAUAUCUGCUCCAAAAGGCAUUUAUUCUGACUUGGAGAUGCAACAAAAACACAAAAAUGGAAUGAAGUGAUACUCUUCAUCAAACAGAAGUGACUGUUAUCUCAACCAUUUUGUUAAAUCCUAAACAGAAAACAAAAAAAAUCAUGACGAAAAGACACUUGCUUAUUAAUUGGCUUGGAAAGUAGAAUAUAGGAGAAAGGUUACUGUUUAUUUUUUUUCAUGUAUUCAUUCAUUCUACAAAUAUAUUCGGGUGCCAAUAGGUACUUGGUAUAAGGUUUUUGGCCCCAGAGACAUGGGAAAAAAAUGCAUGCCUUCCCAGAGAAUGCCUAAUACUUUCCUUUUGGCUUGUUUUCUUGUUAGGGGCAUGGCUUAGUCCCUAAAUAACAUUGUGUGGUUUAAUUCCUACUCCGUAUCUCUUCUACCACUCUGGCCACUACGAUAAGCAGGUAGCUGGGUUUUGUAGUGAGCUUGCUCCUUAAGUUACAGGAACUCUCCUUAUAAUAGACACUUCAUUUUCCUAGUCCAUCCCUCAUGAAAAAUGACUGACCACUGCUGGGCAGCAGGAGGGAUGAUGACCAACUAAUUCCCAAACCCCAGUCUCAUUGGUACCAGCCUUGGGGAACCACCUACACUUGAGCCACAAUUGGUUUUGAAGUGCAUUUACAAGGUUUGUCUAUUUUCAGUUCUUUACUUUUUACAUGCUGACACAUACAUACACUGCCUAAAUAGAUCUCUUUCAGAAACAAUCCUCAGAUAACGCAUAGCAAAAUGGAGAUGGAGACAUGAUUUCUCAUGCAACAGCUUCUCUAAUUAUACCUUAGAAAUGUUCUCCUUUUUAUCAUCAAAUCUGCUCAAGAAGGGCUUUUUAUAGUAGAAUAAUAUCAGUGGAUGAAAACAGCUUAACAUUUUACCAUGCUUAAGUUUUAAGAAUAAAAUAAAAAUUGGAAAUAAUUGGCCAAAAUUGAAAGGAAAAAUUUUUUUAAAAUUUCUCUAAAUGUAGGCCUGGCUGGGCUUUGACCUUUUCCGUUUUUAAAUCACUCACAGAGGGUGGGACAGGAGGAAGAGUGAAGGAAAAGGUCAAACCUGUUUUAAGGGCAACCUGCCUUUGUUCUGAAUUGGUCUUAAGAACAUUACCAGCUCCAGGUUUAAAUUGUUCAGUUUCAUGCAGUUCCAAUAGCUGAUCAUUGUUGAGAUGAGGACAAAAUCCUUUGUCCUCACUAGUUUGCUUUACAUUUUUGAAAAGUAUUAUUUUUGUCCAAGUGCUUAUCAACUAAACCUUGUGUUAGGUAAGAAUGGAAUUUAUUAAGUGAAUCAGUGUGACCCUUCUUGUCAUAAGAUUAUCUUAAAGCUGAAGCCAAAAUAUGCUUCAAAAGAAGAGGACUUUAUUGUUCAUUGUAGUUCAUACAUUCAAAGCAUCUGAACUGUAGUUUCUAUAGCAAGCCAAUUACAUCCAUAAGUGGAGAAGGAAAUAGAUAAAUGUCAAAGUAUGAUUGGUGGAGGGAGCAAGGUUGAAGAUAAUCUGGGGUUGAAAUUUUCUAGUUUUCAUUCUGUACAUUUUUAGUUAGACAUCAGAUUUGAAAUAUUAAUGUUUACCUUUCAAUGUGUGGUAUCAGCUGGACUCAGUAACACCCCUUUCUUCAGCUGGGGAUGGGGAAUGGAUUAUUGGAAAAUGGAAAGAAGAAAGUAACUAAAAGCCUUCCUUUCACAGUUUCUGGCAUCACUACCACUACUGAUUAAACAAGAAUAAGAGAACAUUUUAUCAUCAUCUGCUUUAUUCACAUAAAUGAAGUUGUGAUGAAUAAAUCUGCUUUUAUGCAGACACAAGGAAUUAAGUGGCUUCGUCAUUGUCCUUCUACCUCAAAGAUAAUUUAUUCCAAAAGCUAAGAUAAAUGGAAGACUCUUGAACUUGUGAACUGAUGUGAAAUGCAGAAUCUCUUUUGAGUCUUUGCUGUUUGGAAGAUUGAAAAAUAUUGUUCAGCAUGGGUGACCACCAGAAAGUAAUCUUAAGCCAUCUAGAUGUCACAAUUGAAACAAACUGGGGAGUUGGUUGCUAUUGUAAAAUAAAAUAUACUGUUUUGAAAACUUUGU
rnacentral:lncRNA from 1 species